rnacentral:sRNA from 1 species
UACCCCGUUGUCAUUCUUGACCCUACGC